UACAGAGGGUGCGAGCGUUGUCCGGAAUCACUGGGCGUAAAGGGCUCGUAGGCGGCCAACUAAGUCAGACGUGAAAUCCCUCGGCUUAACCGGGGAACUGCGUCUGAUACUGGAUGGCUUGAGAUUGGGAGAGGGAUGCGGAAUUCCAGGUGUAGCGGUGAAAUGCGUAGAUAUCUGGAGGAACACCGGUGGCGAAGGCGGCAUCCUGGACCAGCACUGACGCUGAGGAGCGAAAGCCAGGGGAGCAAACGGG
rnacentral:rRNA from 1 species